GCUAAUUUUACAUAACUGGCUUUUAGAACAGUGGUUCUCAGCUGCAAACCCUGAAUCUGUAGAUUCAUCAUCACCUGGGAGCUGAUUAGAAAUGCAAAUUCGUUUUUAUUUUUUGAGACAGAGUCUUGCUCUGUUGCCCAGGCUGGAGUGUAGUAGUGCAAUCUCAGCCCACUGCAAACUCCACCUGCCGGGCUCAAGUGAUCCUCCUACCUCAGCUUCCCAAGUAGCUGGGACUCCAGGCGCGCACUACCAUGCCCAGCUAAUUUUUGUAUUUUUUUUGUAGAGACGGGGUCUCACCAUGUUGCCCAGGCUGGUCUUGAACUUCUGGGUUCAAGCGAUCCUCCCACCUCGGCCUCCCAAAGUGCUGGGAUUACAGGUGUGAGCCACUGCGCCUGACCAAAAAUGUAGAUUCUUGAGCCCUAUCCCAGAGAGACAGGGGUUUCACUGUGUUGCCCAUGAUGGUCUUCAACUCCUGAACUCAAGUGAUCCUCCUGCCUUGGCCUCCCAAAGUGCUGGGAUUCCAUGAGCCACCAUGCCUAGCCUAGAAUAUUUGAUUCUUUUCUUUUAUGCUAUGUUAUUAUUUAAAGCCAUGAUUUAGAUGAUGCUCUGUCUCUGGUCUGGAUUGCAAGUUUAUUCAUUGGAAAAAUAUGAUCCACAUUGCAACAUGAUCUUCAGGAACACAUCGAAGCAAAAAGGAAGAGACUUAUGUGCUUUCUGUCUUUUUUUCUGAGACAGUCUCGCUCUGAGUGUAGUGGUGCCAUCUCGGCUCACUGCAACCUCUGCCUCCCGGGUUCAAGUGAUUCUCCCACCUCAGCCUCCUGAGUAGCUGGGAUUACAGGUGUGUACCACCAUGCCCAGCUAAUUUUUGUAUUUUUAGUAGAAACAGGGUUUCACCAUAUUGCCCGGGCUGAUCUCGAAUUCCUGAACUCAAGUGAUCCACCUGCCUUGGCCUCCCAAAGUGCUGGGAUUACAGGAGUGAGCCACCGUGCCUGACCUAUAUGCAUAUUUUAUAUCUAAAGAAAAAAGGACUAUAAAUAAAUAUGAGAGUCUUGUUAUAA